UACGUAGGGGGCCAGCGUUGCUCGGAAUUACUGGGCGUAAAGGGUUCGUAGGUGGUGCGGCAAGUUGGGAGUGAAAUCUCCGGGCUUAACUCGGAGGCUGCUUUCAAAACUGCCGCGCUCGAGUGCGGGAGAGGCCAGUGGAAUUGCAGGUGUAGCGGUGAAAUGCGUAGAUAUCUGCAGGAACACCCGUGGCGAAGGCGGCUGGCUGGACCGCAACUGACACUGAGGAACGAAAGCUAGGGGAGCAAACAGG
rnacentral:rRNA from 1 species